rnacentral:rRNA from 1 species
CCUACGGGAGGCAGCAGUGAGGAAUAUUGGUCAAUGGACGAGAGUCUGAACCAGCCAAGUAGCGUGAAGGAUGACUGCCCUAUGGGUUGUAAACUUCUUUUAUAUGGGAAUAAAACGUUCCACGUGUGGGAUUUUGUAUGUACCAUAUGAAUAAGGAUCGGCUAACUCCGUGCCAGCAGCCGCGGUAAUACGGAGGAUCCGAGCGUUAUCCGGAUUUAUUGGGUUUAAAGGGAGCGUAGGUGGAGUGUUAAGUCAGUUGUGAAAGUUUGCGGCUCAACCGUAAAAGUGCAGUGGAAACUGGCAGUCUUGAGUACAGUAGAGGUGGGCGGAAUUCAUGGUGUAGCGGUGAAAUGCUUAGAUAUAACGAAGAACUCCGAUUGCGAAGGCAGUUCACUGGACUGCAACUGACACUGAGGCUCGAAAGUGUGGGUAUCAAACAGGAUUAGAUACCCUGGUAGUC